GGCAAUCGUCUUCACUAUCUAUGUAAGUUUGCUUAAUUGCGUGGUGUUUGACAACUGGUUCUUAGAAGGAGAGUAGGAGUUUAUAGGAACAUGAUGUGCUUGAGUAAGCAUAGUUGUCAAUAGGAUGACAGCCUGAUGAUAGGAUGCCUCUGUUAAUGUUUAAUCAGUGUACAGUGACUUUAAGGUCUGCACAAAUAAUCUGACAGUGAGGUGAUCUUUAAUUGUUGCAUUAUGCCUUCAGUCUUCUUUUGGUCUAUAGUUUUUUUAAGGAACUGACAUGCAUCUGAUUCUCAAGCCCUAAGUGUGGGCACAAGGAGGUGUGCAUCUUUUACUUGGUGGUAUGAAGACUAUGAUUUGUGGUGAUGAAGUGCCCAUAAAUCAUCCAAUUAGCAUGAGCCCUCCAUCAUCCUAUUAAAAUUAGCCUUUCACUUAAGAUAAGUUUUAGGGAUGAAUAAAUACUUUUGAAAGUUUGAAAAAGUCUACUCAUCAAUUUUUUUCUUUCCUAUAUAUACAAUAUUCGAAGAAAAAGAUUGAGUUCUUCAUGCCAAAACAUUUUGAUUUUACAAAUCCCAUUUAGCACCUUCUAAUAAUUGAACUUGUUGGACUAAAACUCUAACCUAUAAAUUUUUAUAUUCUUAUAUAUUAUA
rnacentral:misc_RNA from 1 species